CGGGCAAUAGCGCAGCUGGUAGCGCGUCUGGUUUGGGACCAGAAUGUCGGGGGUUCAAAUCCCUCUUGCCCGA
rnacentral:tRNA from 1 species